CGCUAUGCUCCCUACGGGAGGCAGCAGUGGGGAAUAUUGCACAAUGGGCGCAAGCCUGAUGCAGCCAUGCCGCGUGUGUGAAGAAGGCCUUCGGGUUGUAAAGCACUUUCAGUCGUGAGGAAGGUAGUGUAGUUAAUAGCUGCAUUAUUUGACGUUAGCGACAGAAGAAGCACCGGCUAACUCCGUGCCAGCAGCCGCGGUAAUACGGAGGGUGCGAGCGUUAAUCGGAAUUACUGGGCGUAAAGCGCAUGCAGGUGGUUUGUUAAGUCAGAUGUGAAAGCCCGGGGCUCAACCUCGGAAUAGCAUUUGAAACUGGCAGACUAGAGUACUGUAGAGGGGGUAGAAUUUCAGGUGUAGCGGUGAAAUGCGUAGAGAUCUGAAGGAAUACCGGUGGCGAAGGCGGCCCCCUGGACAGAUACUGACACUCAGAUGCGAAAGCGUGGGGAGCAAACAGGAUUAGAUACCCUGGUAG
rnacentral:rRNA from 1 species